GAUCCUGGCUCGGGAUGAACGCUGGCGGCGUGCUUAACACAUGCAAGUCGAGCGAAGCAAUUUAAGUGAAGUUUUCGGAUGGAUCUUAGAUUGACUGAGCGGCGGACGGGUGAGUAACGCGUGGAUAACCUGCCUCACACAGGGGGAUAACAGUUAGAAAUGACUGCUAAUACCGCAUAAGCGCACGGUACCGCAUGGUGCAGUGUGAAAAACUCCGGUGGUGUGAGAUGGAUCCGCG
rnacentral:rRNA from 1 species